UGCCUUCUCCACUUCAAAUUCUCGAUCUCCAUUGCAUUUUCUUCAUUUCUCUAUUGAUUCCCAUUUCUCCAUUUCAUUUUCAUUUGCUUUUGUGUUCCUCUUCCCCAGACUGUGUGGGCGAUCUCUCUGGGCGGCAUCUCAUUAUCGCCAUGCUAUCAUCCUAGAUUUGGUCAUUCUUUGAUCGCUUUUGUGUUCUUCUGCCACUGCAUGCACGUUGGUUUUGCCUUUCAGAGUUUCAAUGGUUUAGCCUCUCUU
rnacentral:misc_RNA from 1 species